GGAGGUAGUGACAAUAAAUCACAAUGCGGGACUGUUAGUCUUGCAAUUGGAUUGAGAACAACGUACAACUCUUAUCGAUAAGCCAUUGGAGGGCAAGUCUGGUGCCAGCAGCCGCGGUAAUUCCAGCUCCAAUAGCGUAUAUUAACGUUGUUGCAGUUAAAAAGCUCGUAGUUGAAGUGAGGGAGUGUGUGGGUAUGAGAGCUAGUCUCAAGUACUCACAACCUCCCCCCUCCAAUCGGUGUAGUGGGGUAUUCAGUUAUUCCACUACUCCUUUGGUCGUUUACUGUGAGAAAAUUAGAGUGUUCAAAGCGGGCGUUUGUUUGAAUAGAUUAGCAUGGAAUAAUGAUUGAAGGCUUUCGUGUUCGAUUUGAUUGGUUUGUUCAUGGAAGCAAGGUUAAAAGGAACAGUUGGGGGUAUUCAUAUUCACUAGUUAGAGGUGAAAUUCUCGGAUUUAUGGAAGAUGAACAAGUGCGAAAGCA
rnacentral:rRNA from 1 species